rnacentral:rRNA from 1 species
GUCCACGCCGUAAACGAUGGAUGCUCGGUGUUUGGCGGGGAAACCUGCUGGGCACCUCAGCUGACGCGCAAGCAUCCCGCCUGGGAACUACGAGCGCAAGCUUAAAACUCAAAGGAAUUGACGGGGGCCCGCACAAGCAGCGGAGCGUGUGGUUUAAUUCGACGCAACCCGCAGCACCUUACCCAGACUUGACAUGGCACUGCAAGCCCGUGAAAGCGGGUCGCCUUCGAGGGUGUGCCGCAGAUGCUGCAUGGCUGUCGU